GACGAACGCUGGCGGCGUGCUUAACACAUGCAAGUCGAACGAUGAAGCUAGAGCUUGCUCUGGUGAAUUAGUGGCGAACGGGUGAGUAACACGUGAGUAACCUGCCCCGAACUCUGGGAUAACUGCUGGAAACGGUAGCUAAUACUGGAUACGACCUACGAAGGCAUCUUCUGUAGGUGGAAAGAAUUUCGGUUCGGGAUGGACUCGCGGCCUAUCAGCUUGUUGGUGAGGUAAUGGCUCACCAAGGCGACGACGGGUAGCCGGCCUGGGAGGGUGACCGGCCACACUGGGACUGGGACCCGGCCCAGACUGCUACGGGGGGCAGCAGUGGGGAAUAUUGCACAAGGGGCGCAAGCCUGAUGCAGCAACGCCGCGUGAGGGAUGACGGCCUUCGGGUUGUAAACCUCUUUUAGUAGGGAAGAAGCGAAAGUGACGGUACCUGCAGAAAAAGCACCGGCUAACUACGUGCCAGCAGCCGCCGUAA
rnacentral:rRNA from 1 species